CCUACGGGAGACAGCAGUGGGGGAUAUUGCACAAUGGAGGAAACUCUGAUGCAGCGACGCCGCGUGAGGGAAGACGGUCUUCGGAUUGUAAACCUCUGUCUUUGGGGAAGAAAAUGACGGUACCCAAAGAGGAAGCUCCGGCUAACUACGUGCCAGCAGCCGCGGUAAUACGUGGGGAGCGAGCGUUUUCCGCAAUUACGGGGGGUAAAGUGGGCGUAGGCGGGCGAGAAAGUUGAAUGUUAAGUCUACCGGCUUAACUGGUAUCUGCGUUUAAAACUUCUUGUCUUGAGUGAAGUAGUGGCAGGCGGAAUGCCUAGUGUAGCGGUGAAAUGCGUAGAUAUUAGGAGGAACACCAGUGGCGAAGGCGGCCGGCUGGGCUUUAACUGACGCUGAGGCUCGAAAGCGUGGGGAGCAAACAGGAUUAGAUACCCCUGUAGUC
rnacentral:rRNA from 1 species